CAUACAGACCCGCCAAUAUAGAGACUCCUCUGUUGACACAAAUAAAGUAUUCUUUAUAUUUGCAUGGCGUACCAAUCUAUUUCAACAUUACCCAACCAACAGUUUCACACACACCAAUCAACAAGUAUCGCAAUUAUAAAGCAGAAUGCUCAUACAGCUAACCAGUCCUUAGCGGAAAUGAUGCAUGCCAUGUACAUUCACUUAAACACUCAAGUGAGGAUGAAUCGAAUGCAAAAUACAGCAAUCAUUGGGAACCUUCUAUCAUUUGAAAGUAUUUUCCACCCGAAAAUUUUAUUUUUAAAUUCUAAGGAUAUGAUAAAAUUGAAAAUCGUUUCUCACAGAAAAACUAUUAUGAGGGGUAGAACACUAUU
rnacentral:lncRNA from 1 species